CAAAAACAUGUCCUUUUGUUAUUUAUAUAAGGUCUAACCUGCUCUAUGAUUUAUUAAAUGGUCGCAGUAUUUUAACUGUGCUAAGGUAGCAUAAUCAAUUGUCUUUUAAUUGGAGAAUGGGAUGAAGGGUUGAACGAAGUAUUGACUUUUUUUAUUUCUGUGGAUGAAUUUAAUUUUUUAGUUAAAAAGCUAGAAUAGUUUUAAGGGACGAGAAGACCCUAUAGAUCUUUGUGUAGAUAUAGAUAAAGUGUAUUUUGGUUUUUUAUUUGAUAUUUUUAUUUGAUAUUUUUAUUUGGCUGGGGUGGCUGUGGAAAUUUUUAACUUCUAUUGGGUUAGUUCAUGGAUUAGUGUUUAUAUAUGAUCUUGUAUUAAUGAUUUUAAGAUUAAGAUACCUUAGGGAUAACAGCGUUAUCUUUUCGGAGAGUUCUUAUUGAUGAGGGGGAUUGCGACCUCGAUGUUGAAUUAAAGUGAAUAUUAAGUGUAGAAGUUUAUAUAAUUAGGUCUG
rnacentral:rRNA from 1 species